UGUUGUUGUUGUUGUUGUUGUUGCUUGAUGUGUUUUUACGUUCAGGCUAAAAGGCGCAAAGAAACGUGCAUGAAGUCAUUUCUUUAGCUCUGCAGCAAAAAGACUCAUUGACGACUGCAGACAUUUGGACGCGAUCCGCCAAACAAAACUGAGCUGCCGACUUUUUUUCUCCAACAGAAAAAAGGGGCCGACCUUUUUAGAGGCAUUCUAACAUGUUUCAUGUUCAAUGAGCAAAUCCCAUCACCGUCCUCCGCCGCUGGCCGGCCCCCCGAGCCGAUGCCAGUCAGCUGCCGACGCUUCCUGGAGACGAGGAGAUAAUUCCCAGAGAGACGACGCCUCUGAGGUCCAACGUGGUGAGAUCAGACUGCCUCAUCCGCUGAGUCCUGGUUCUGGUUCCUCUCCAGCUGGACCGAGCUUAGCCAGUUUCUUCUAGGUCUUUUUCUGUAUUUGCGCUAACCGUCAGAUAGUCGGCGACUGAUGUAUCAACAAUAUUCACUCUGAUCCAAUAAAUGUUGAUCUAAGAAUUGUAUGAUUCUUAAUCACAGCCAGGAUGCUUUGAUUUGUUAACUGUUUCUCUGCCUUAAAUGGGAACAACACCACACCUUUUGGAAUUUUAAGGACUGUUAGUUUGGGUGUAUUCAACAUUGGGGAACACAGGUUUUAAAUACUGUACAACGGGUUUUGUGUUUGGACUGUAUGAUACUUCUUUUGAGUCCAAAGGCCCGUGCGUCUACUUCCUCUCAGGUGGAGUCCAUGUCGGCGCCUCGGCACUAUCGUGCAUUAAAAUCAUCGUUGAAAACACUCUGAGGCGCGAGAGGUUGAAACGUCGAGUCCCGCUGUCGGGUAAAACAAAGCCCAGUUUGGUGUUUCCCUGCUAAUCCCGCGAAACAAAGUGAGGUCCAGAAUAAAGCCACGCAUUAAGCUGGCCCGGCUUCAAUGUGUGCGGAAACGGCAGCAGAGCGGCCGCAAGUAAUGGCAGCAGGCGUGUGGGAGUGUUUAAUGGAGAGUGGAGUAAUUUGCGCUUUUUAAUGAUGAUUAGAGGAGGAAAUUGGCUCAGAUUUACAGUGUCACCAGUGAAACAGAGGAGGGAGAAAAUAGAAUAAAGGCCUUUAAAUUCUCCCCUACUUGUGUGUGUGUGUGUGUUUUCAGGCGCGCACAGGUGUGAGACAGGGGAGAGACCCGUAACACACGACUGCCCCCCCCCCCACGCCGCCGUCCCACAACACCCAUCCACCCACACGGCUCCACACCUCCCCUUUCAGAGGAAAUGUAUCACUUUAAACCCACCGCAGCUCAGCUCACAGAACGUAAUGAAUCUGGACUCAAUUUUACGCCUAGCUGCCCAUCCCACUGACACACACACACACACACACACACACACACACACACACACACACAGUUAAUACCGAGGCCGUCUUACCUAUAGCUGGGUGGUGGUUCUUUGUGACGUAGAGAGGAAAUUGGAAAAGUGUGAUUAUGGCACUGAUUGGCAGAGCCUUUUCUGUCCCCUCAUCUACACUUUGCCCUCCGCUUUGACCUCUCCGUUAUCCGAUGAAAACCUCCUGACUUGCGUUGCCUCUUCGUCUCUUUCUUCUACUCCUCUCGGUCCCACCCUUCUUUUUCCCCCCCACAUUGAUUGCGCAGUUUGCCAAAUUAAUAGACUGAAUAAAAGUGCACUGAAGGAAUAAAAGUAAUUUGCUGAAGUUGGGAAUAAUAAUUAGAAAAUGUUCAUGGAUAUUUGUGCCGGUCAUGUUUUGCCUGCAAAGAAUACAUGGCUGAUAUUCAGAUUACAUUCUUUUAUUUAGUCUGACUUUGCCUUUGGAGGUGAAAUAUUACAUUUUGCCUUCAAGCAUACAUCAUAAUUUGAUAUAUAGUGUAAUAUGGAGUCAAGCCGGGUAAUGCUAGCUUUUAACCUUUAGCAUAUUGACUGGCACUCUCUACCUUUUGAAUGUGCUUGUUGCAUAUUCCCAUUAAGAUGUCCUCAUGGAAAGAAAGCAAAAAGAGGUAAAAUUGUAUUUAAUUACCACAACAUACUAGUGUGUGUGGUUGUUUUAGCAGAAAGAUGGCUAGCUUUUUGAGCUCUCCGAUGUUCCCCGAGCUAAUAUCCUUUAAUACGACACGUUAAGGAGACCUUUGAAAGGGAUUUAUGUUCUGAGCAACGCGCUCUCCUCCCGACGGCAAAUGUUCAAUGUUCCCUGAGUCAACAUGUAAAAAACAUUUACCGACAGCUUUAUGGUCUAGUGACAAAAACCCCUUCAAACUAACGCCCUCAAAUUUGCAGACAGAAAGUGUUCUUUACUUCAAACACUGAUAUCUGCACACUAGCUUAAGGGAUUUUAACCAUUAAAAACGUCAUUCUUCCUUCAUUCUCUUGCGAUUUGAACUGUGAAAGUAGCCCUUAUCACAGCUAGCUGUGUUAGCUUCAUAGCUUCAACUAGCCUCUUGUUGGACUGGCUUCGGCCUUGACUUUCCACAGGUUUCCACCUUCUUUUUUUACUAAGAAUUGACAUGUGACUCAGUUUGUAUUGUAGUAACUUCAGCAAAAAUGCACGUUGAGACAGAGUAACAACUAGCCUGUUAGCUAGCUACUCAUUUAGCAACUGGGAGAUGUUUCCCCUCUGAGCUUUCUGGGUGUGAACCAUUAAGGCCUCAACUUUAGAGGUAAUGACAGAUUUAACUGUUAUCAGUGAUAUUAAGUAUGUCCAGAUAAUUGGAUAUUAUUACCUGAUGACACCUUUGACGCAGCAUGGCUACGCUUUAGCUUAGCUACGCUUUAGCUUAGCUUAAACAAACAUUCACCAGGUAAACAAACAUUCACCAGGUAAAUAAACAUUCAUCAGGUAAACAGGCAUUUACCAGGUAAACAAACAUUCAUCAGGUAAACACCCAUUCACCAGGUAAACAAACAUUCGCCAGGUAAACAGCCAUUCACCAGGUAAACAGGCAUUCACCAG
ensembl:lncRNA